rnacentral:lncRNA from 10 species
ACCUUGGUGACAAGGAAUGGAGGAGAAAAGGAACAGGAAAUUUUAAUAAGAUUAGGAGGGCUUGCUUUUCUGCCAAGUGAGCCGCUUUCACAGGAGCGAUAAAUUGGAAAUGUUAUCUGGCUUGAUAUGCCAGUUUUUCUGAGAAAAUCACUCUGCCAGUGGUGACAGAAUGGAAGAGCUGAAAACAUCUUCUUUUUUCAAAGUCAUAUGUCACGAACCAAGGAGACUCCAAAAAAUAAAUUAUGGAAGAUUAUGACCACUGCUGCCAAGGAUACAGUGAAAUAGAUCCAUUAAAGAAUUGAGAUUGCAGGACACACUACCACCCUGAAAACUGGAGAGAGGAAAAAUACAGAGAGGAAGCAGAUCAGCUUACCUGAAGCAGAGGCCGCUGGAAUCUGUGACAGGUCCGAGGAAGUUCCUGAGAUAACUUUGUGAGUGGUCCACUAUUUCUGCAUUUCAC